GACACCUAGUGACCUAGUGGUUAAAGAGUCCGCCUCGGAUAAGGGAGGUCGUGGGUUCGAGCCCCGGUUGAGUCA